UACGUAGGUGGCAAGCGUUGUCCGGAUUUACUGGGCGUAAAGGGUGCGUAGGUGGUGAGGUAAGUCGGAUGUGAAAUCUCCGAGCUCAACUCGGAAAUGGCAUUGGAAACUACCUUGCUUGAGGGUUGGAGGGGGGACUGGAAUACUUGGUGUAGCAGUGAAAUGCGUAGAUAUCAAGUGGAACACCAGUGGCGAAGGCGAGUCCCUGGACAACUCCUGACACUGAGGCACGAAAGCGUGGGGAGCAAACAGG
rnacentral:rRNA from 1 species